rnacentral:rRNA from 1 species
GCUUGUCUCAAAGAUUAAGCCAUGCAUGUCUAAGUGUAAAUACGUCUACACUGUGAAACUGCGAAUGGCUCAUUAAAUCAGUUAUCGUUUAUUUGAUGAUCUCUUGUUACAUGGAUAACCGUAGUAAUUCUAGAGCUAAUACAUGCGUCAAGCCCCGACUUCGGAAGGGGUGUAUUUAUUAGAUUCAAAACCAACCGUGUAAAAAGCGUACCUUGGUGAUUCAUAAUAACUUGUCGAACCGCACGCCCUUGAGGCAGCGGUGAUUCAUUCAAAUUUCUGCCCUAUCAACUGUCGACUGUGAUAUAGACGCUCACAGUGGUUUUGACGGGUAACGGGGAAUCAGGGUUCGAUUCCGGAGAGGGAGCCUUAAAAACGGCUACCACAUCCAAGGAAGGCAGCAGG